CGACCUCAGAUCAGGUGGGACUCCCCGCCGAAUUUAAGCAUAUUAGUAAGCGGAGGAAAAGAAACUAACGAGGAUUCCCCUAGUAGCUGCGAGCGAAGAGGGAAUAGCCCAGCACUGAAUCCCAAAGGCCUCGCCUUUAGGGAGAUGUGGUGUUUAGGAGUACCCGAUUAACCCGGGGUUCGUGCACCGCGUUCAAGUCCAUCUUGAACGGGGCCACGGUCCGAAGAGGGUGCCAGGCCUGUAGUUGACCGGUGCCGGCCCCGGGUGGGUUCCUCCUUAGAGUCGGGCUGCUUGAGAGUGCAGCCCUAAGCGGGUGGUAAACUCCAUCUAAGGCUAAAUACAACCACGAGACCGAUAGAGAACAAGUACCGUGAGGGAAAGUUGAAAAGAACUUUGAAGAGAGAGUUCAAGAGUACGUGAAACCGCUCAGGGGUAAACGGAUAAGACCCGAAACCCCGAAAAGGGAGAUUCACGUCUUCUCGCAGGUGUCGGCCCCCGCCCGGGAGGAUGGCCUCACCCGCCGCCCGGUUCGUCCGUGGCGGCGGGUAGGCUGCCACCGGCGGGGUGUCCGACCCGGCGGAGGACCGCACUUCUCCCCCAGUAGGACGUCGCGACCCGCUCUGCGGCGGUCUAACGGCCGGUAGAAAGCCUGGCCGGGGCUCCCUUCGGGGCGGCUCCCGGCCAGAUCUCCGGACCCGUGGCCGUCUGUCGGGGCGGUAUGAAUCGAUUGUAGCGCUGGGCCGCUCCUCGAGAGCGCCGUUGCCUCGUCGCAAGCCCGGGUCGGGCCGUCGGGUCGUGCCCUCACGGGUACGCUCGGCGUCCGCCCGGACUGUUAGCGGCUCGAGUGCUCCGGCUGACGUCCAGCACGCUCGUCGGCGGCGCUUCAGAUUCGGGCACUUAUCCGACCCGUCUUGAAACACGGACCAAGGAGUCUAGCGUGUGCGCGAGUCAUUGGGUGAAAAACCUAAAGGCGCAAUGAAAGUGUCCAGGGGUCGCUUCCGCGGCCUCUGGGGAGGAUGGGCUCCCGGCCUCCCGGCCGGCGCCCCGCACUCCCGGGGCGUUUCAUUCUCGUUACGAGUCGAGACGCACCAGGAGCGCACACGCUGGUACCCGAAAGAUGGUGAACUAUGCCUGGCCAGGACGAAGCCAGGGGAAACCCUGGUGGAGGUCCGAAGCGAUUCUGACGUGCAAAUCGAUCGUCUGAGCUGGGUAUAGGGGCGAAAGACCAAUCGAACCAUCUAGUAGCUGGUUCCCUCUGAAGUUUCCCUCAGGAUAGCUGGCUCUCGGGCUGAGACGAGUCUCAUCCGGUAGAGCGAAUGAUUAGAGGUGAUGGGGUCGAAACGACUUCAACCUAUUCUCAAACUCCCAAUAGAUGAGAGCCCCGGCUUGCUUGAAAGUGAAGCCGCGGGACUCGGAUCAAUGAGAUGCCAAGUGGGCCAAUUUUGGUAAGCAGAACUGGCGCUGUGGGAUGAACCAAACGCGGAGUUAAGGCGCCUGAUUCGACGCUCAUCCGAAACCAUGAAAGGCGUUGGUUGCUUAAGACAGCAGGACGGUGGCCAUGGAAGUCGGAAUCCGCUAAGGAGUGUGUAACAACUCACCUGCCGAAGCAACUAGCCCUGAAAAUGGAUGGCGCUGUAGCGUCGUGCCUAUACUCCGCCGUCAACGGCAGAGCGGGCGGCCCCUUUAAGGGGCGUCGCCGUUAAGCCUUGACGAGUAAGAGGGUCGCGGCGGUGUGCGCGGAAGGGUCUGGGCGCGAGCCCGCCUGGAGCCGCCGCCGGUGCAGAUCUUGGUGGUAGUAGCAAAUACUCCAGCGAGGCCCUGGAGGACUGAUGUGGAGAAGGGUUUCUUGUGAACAGCUGUUGCACAAGAGUCAGUCGAUCCUAAGCCCUAGGAGAAAUCCGAAGCGAUGGUCUGCCGUUAUUUGUGUCUUGAAGGGCUUGACCCCCAACGUGUGGGGGGCUCGCCGGUGACUAAAAAAGCCGGCACCAUCUGGGCGAAAGGGAAUCCGGUUCCUAUUCCGGAACCCGGCAGCGGAACCGCUUCAAUUCGGGCCCUCUCCGAGGACUCGUCGGGGUGACCCGAAAUGACCCGGAGAAGCCGUAGGGAGACCCGGGGAGAGUUGUCUCUUCUCUAUAAGCGUUCGAGUUCCCUGGAAGCCUCUAGGAGGGAGAUAGGGUUUGGAACGCGAAGAGCACCGCACUUACGGCGGUGUCCGGGUCUUCCCCUCGGACCUUGAAAAUCCGGGCGAGGGCCACGAGGAACACCGCGCCGGCUCGUACCCAUAUCCGCAGCAGGUCUCCAAGGUGAAUAGCCUCUAGUCGAUAGAAUAAUGUAGGUAAGGGAAGUCGGCAAACCCGAUCUGUAACUUCGGGACAAAGAUUGGCUCUGAGGAUCGUGGCGUGCCGGGCUUGGUCGGGAAGUGGAGCGGUGCCAACGUGCCGGGCCUGGGCGAGGUGAAAAGCGCGCGAGCGCUCGGACCCUAGCUCGGUCCCGUGCCUUG
rnacentral:rRNA from 1 species